UGGGGAAUAUUGCGCAAUGGGCGAAAGCCUGACGCAGCGACGCCGCGUGAGGGAUGACUGCCUUCGGGUUGUAAACCUCUUUCAGCGCCGAAGAAGCGAAAGUGACGGUAGGCGCAGAAGAAGCACCGGCUAACUACGUGCCAGCAGCCGCGGUAAUACGUAGGGUGCGAGCGUUGUCCGGAAUUAUUGGGCGUAAAGAGCUCGUAGGCGGUUUGUCGCGUCGGCUGUGAAAACCUGGGGCUUAACCCUGGGCGUGCAGUCGAUACGGGCAGACUUGAGUUCGGCAGGGGAGACUGGAAUUCCUGGUGUAGCGGUGAAAUGCGCAGAUAUCAGGAGGAACACCGGUGGCGAAGGCGGGUCUCUGGGCCGAUACUGACGCUGAGGAGCGAAAGCAUGGGGAGCGAACAGG
rnacentral:rRNA from 1 species